rnacentral:rRNA from 1 species
UACGUAGGGUGCAAGCGUUAAUCGGAAUUACUGGGCGUAAAGCGUGCGCAGGCGGUUUUGUAAGUCAGAUGUGAAAUCCCCGGGCUUAACCUGGGAACUGCGUUUGAAACUACAAGGCUAGAGUGUGGCAGAGGGGGGUGGAAUUCCACGUGUAGCAGUGAAAUGCGUAGAGAUGUGGAGGAACACCGAUGGCGAAGGCAGCCCCCUGGGCCAACACUGACGCUCAGGCACGAAAUCGUGGGGAGCAAACAGG